GACGAACGCUGGCGGCGUGCCUAACACAUGCAAGUUGAGCGACGAACCAGGGCUUGCCCUGGGGCAAAGCAGCGAACGGGUGAGUAACACGUGGGUAACCUACCCCGAUAACCGGGACAACCCGAGGAAACUCGGGCUAAUACCGGUUGUGCUCACUGAACUCCGGUUCAGUGCGUAAAGGAAGCUUCGGCCUCCGUAUCGGGAGGGGCCCGCGGCCCAUUAGCUAGUUGGUGAGGUAACGGCUCACCAAGGCCGCGAUGGGUAGCUGGUCUGAGAGGACGAUCAGCCACACUGGGACUGAGACACGGCCCAGACUCCUACGGGAGGCAGCAGUGGGGAAUCUUGCGCAAUGCGCGAAAGCGUGACGCAGCAACGCCGCGUGGGGGAAGAAGGCCUUCGGGUUGUAAACCCCUUUCAGGAGGGACGAAGGUUCGGCGGUGAAUAGCCGUCCGGACUGACGGUACCUCCACAAGAAGCCCCGGCUAACUACGUGCCAGCCGCCGCGGUAA
rnacentral:rRNA from 1 species